ensembl:lncRNA
CUGACCGUGUGUCUGGUGACUCGGUGACACUGCUGUGCUACAGUGACUCCAACCCCAUCAGUAAUUACUCCUGGUACAAGAAGACAGGAAGUGGUGUUAUACUGUUGGGAAACAGCACCAAUUUAACUUUGGCUACAGGAGCAGUUGGACUUUUCUUUUGCACAGCUCAGAACCAAUUUGGAUCAAUGGACUCGUCAGAAUAUUCAGUUCCAACAGGGAACCCAGCUGGGACAUACGCAGCUUCUGGAGUCACUGUGGUUUUCUUUCUGACUCUCAUUGCUGUCUGUCUAUGGAUGAGGAGGGGAUCUGCAGCUGUCAGCAGAAGGAGUGAGGAGACCAGCACAAAUCAUGACACUGCUCCUGUAUAUGAUAAUAUCUCAGCCCUGACUAAGACCUGUGACUCCACAGUAUCUUCAGAUGAUCAGGAUGAAGUUCACUACUCCAGUGUUCAUUUCACACACUCCCACACACAGGAAGUGCUCUACUCCACUGUUCAACUGCCAAAGGCUCUUAAUCAAGGAGAGGAAGUAGAGUACGCCACAGUGAACAGCACCAAAACAAAAGUCUCCCCACAGUAGGCUAUGCAAAUGGCAUAGUUCAUUAUGUCUGUAUCACUGUUACACAUGGAGUGUAAGUUAUUUCUGAAGCAAAUAAUACAAUAAAGUCAACUGACUAAAUAAAUAUAAUUACAGCCCUUUUCCUAAGUUCUUCUUUAGCAAACAACAUAAAUUAUCUGAAAACAACAGCAAAUAAUGUUAUUAUCCAUCUUUAAAUAAUUCUAUAUAUAAAGUAUGUUUGUAUUGUUGCAUUUGAAAGUGGUGUAAUUUUGAUUUUCAGUCUGAAUUUUUAUUUUCUCAUGAGGUGAGUAUGGUUUAUACUGUACUGGUAAAUGCUUGCUUUAAAUACUGGGAUUAUUCUUCCUGUCAUAUAUCCUUUACUGCAAGACCUUUGUAAUAUUUUGUAAUAUUUUUGUAAUUUUUGUAAUAUUUAUGAUAAAUUCGUACAGGAUAUGAAAUUGCAAUAUAAAUUACAGAGAUGGUAAUGGCUACUCAUUUUAUACAUUGCUGUCAUGUAGCUUUUACUGAUCAGAACUACAAAACAUUACUGCUGUAUGAAAUAUUGUUAUCAGUCUAGUGCUUUAUAAAACAGGAGACUUGAAUUUGGUCUAAAUUCCUCACUCACUUAUCUGUAAUCACCACACAUUCUACCCUCCUAAUAUUCUCUGCCACUCCAUUGCCAACUCAUGUAAAACUUUCUAUAUCCGCCACUGAUGGCUGUUCCCAUGGGAUUAGAGUAACCUGGUGUUAUUUCUACUGGUCAGUUUAGGUAAAAGGUGCCAGAAUAUUGAUGAGGCAGCAGUCUGUAAAAAUAACUGACAUUGUGAAUUUGAUCAAAACAAAAGUAUUUGAGGAACUCUUGCUGCCCAUUUAAAACUUGACAUGUCCUAAUGUGGCUUUAGAGGGUAAGCAUAAACUUUUUAUUCAAAAUUAAAGUCUUGAAAAUAUGUUUUUUUGUUUCAUGCUGAAUGCAGUUUUUUUUUAUCCAUGUAAAGCUACAUGAGUUAGUACAUUUGCUCAGGGGAUAACAUGACCUCAGUCUUGUGAAAUUACCCAGCAAGGACUAAACUCCAAUCUACAGCACAGUCCAAGAACCUGAGAAAAGCUUCACCCACCUUCAGACUCCAACACCUCCAGAUAUAACAUCACCCACCAUCAGACUCCAUCCUCUCCAGAUAUAACAUCACCCACUAUCACACUCCAACACUUCCAGAUAUAACAUCACCCACCAUCAGACUCCAAC